CUACGGGUGGCAGCAGUGGGGAAUAUUGCUCAAUGGGCGCAAGCCUGAUGCAGCCAUGCCGCGUGUAUGAAGAAGGCCUUCGGGUUGUAAAGUACUUUCAGCGGGGAGGAAGGGAGUAAAGUUAAUACCUUUGCUCAUUGACGUUACCCGCAGAAGAAGCACCGGCUAACUCCGUGCCAGCAGCCGCGGUAAUACGGAGGGUGCAAGCGUUAAUCGGAAUUACUGGGCGUAAAGUGCACGCAGGCGGUUUGUUAAGUCAGAUGUGAAAUCCCCGGGCUCAACCUGGGAACUGCAUCUGAUACGGGCAAGCUUGAGUCUCGUAGAGGGGGGUAGAAUUCCAGGUGUAGCGGUGAAAUGCGUAGAGAUCUGGAGGAAUACCGGUGGCGAAGGCGGCCCCCUGGACAAAGACUGACGCUCAGGUGCGAAAGCGUGGGGAGCAAACAGGAUUAGAUACCCUCGUAGUC
rnacentral:rRNA from 1 species